rnacentral:rRNA from 1 species
AAAUUGAAGAGUUUGAUCAUGGCUCAGAUUGAACGCUGGCGGCAGGCCUAACACAUGCAAGUCGAACGGUAACAGGAAACAGCUUGCUGUUUCGCUGACGAGUGGCGGACGGGUGAGUAAUGUCUGGGAAACUGCCCGAUGGAGGGGGAUAACUACUGGAAACGGUAG